AACGAGGCCGACCUGCGGCUGAGUUACCUGCGGAGGGAUCAUUACAGAGUGUGACUCCCUGUAAAAAGGGGGGUACCUCCCGUCCUUUGCAGGCCCUUUAGGGUCUUUUACACUUUGCUUCGGUGGGGUAACCCACCGGAACACUCUCAAAAAUUCUGAUUUUAAAAUUGUUCAGUCUGAGAAUUUUGAAAAUAAAAAAAAAAACUUUUAACAAUGGAUCU
rnacentral:misc_RNA from 1 species